AAAAGCAACCAUGCCAGACUGAAUGCACUUGAUCUCAUCUGUUUUUGAAGGCUAAGAGGUGCUGAACCUGUCUAGUACUGGGAUAGGAGACCUCACUGGAAUCCCAAGAGGCAAAAUGCAAGCC
rnacentral:rRNA from 1 species